rnacentral:rRNA from 1 species
UACAGAGGGGGCAGGCGUUGUUCGGAAUUACUGGGCGUAAAGGGCGCGUAGGUGGCCUUCUAAGUUGAACGUGAAAUCCCUGGGCUCAACCCAGGAACUGCGUCCAAGACUGGGAGGCUUGAAUCCGGGAGAGGGAUGCGGGAUUCCAGGUGUAGCGGUGAAAUGCGUAGAUAUCUGGAGGAAUACCGGUGGCGAAGGCGGCAUCCUGGACCGACAUUGACGCUGAGGAGCGAAAGCCAGGGGAGCAGACGGG